GCUCAGAUUGAACGCUAGCGGGAUGCUUUACACAUGCAAGUCGAACGGCAGCGCGAAGAAAGCUUGCUUUCUUUGGCGGCGAGUGGCGAACGGGUGAGUAAUAUAUCGGAACGUGCCCAGUAGCGGGGGAUAACUACGCGAAAGCGUGGCUAAUACCGCAUACGCCCUACGGGGGAAAGGGGGGGAUCGCAAGACCUCUCACUAUUGGAGCGGCCGAUAUCAGAUUAGCUUGUUGGUGAGGUAAAGGCUCACCAAGGCCGCGAUCUGUAGCUGGUUUGAGAGGACGACCAGCCACACUGGGACUGAGACACGGCCCAGACUCCUACGGGAGGCAGCAGUGGGGAAUUUUGGACAAUGGGGGAAACCCUGAUCCAGCCAUCCCGCGUGUGCGAUGAAGGCCUUCGGGUUGUAAAGCACUUUUGGCAGGGAAGAAAAGGCGCCGGAUAACACCUGGCGCUGAUGACGGUACCUGCAG
rnacentral:rRNA from 1 species